rnacentral:rRNA from 1 species
GACAGAGGGGUGCAAGCGUUGUUCGGAAUUAUUGGGCGUAAAGGGCGCGUAGGCGGCGGCGUAAGUCGGAUGUGAAAUCCCCGGGGCUCAACCCCGGAAGUGCAUCUGAUACUGCGUCGCUUGAAUCCCGGAGAGGGUGGUGGAAUUCCUGGUGUAGAGGUGAAAUUCGUAGAUAUCAGGAGGAACACCGGUGGCGAAGGCGACCACC